rnacentral:tRNA from 1 species
GAGAAAGCAUUACAAGAACUGCUAAUUCUUGCUAACCAUGUAUAACUAACAUGGCUUUCUUA